rnacentral:rRNA from 1 species
UACGGAGGAUGCGAGCGUUAUCCGGAUUUAUUGGGUUUAAAGGGUGCGUAGGCGGACAAAUAAGUCAGUGGUGAAAUCACUCAGCUUAACUGAGUAACUGCCAUUGAUACUGUUAGUCUAGAAUGUAAAUGGAGUAGGCGGAAUGAAUCAUGUAGAGGUGACAUUCAUAGAUAUGAUUCAGAACACCGAUCGCGAAGGCAGCUCACAAAGCCAAGAUUGACGCUGAGGCACGAAAGUGUGGGGAUCAAA